AACGAACGCUGGCGGCAUGCCUAACACAUGCAAGUCGAACGAGACCUUCGGGUCUAGUGGCGCACGGGUGCGUAACGCGUGGGAACCUGCCCUUAGGUUCGGAAUAACUCCCCGAAAGGGGUGCUAAUACCGGAUAAUGUCUUCGGACCAAAGAUUUAUCGCCUUUGGAUGGGCCCGCGUUGGAUUAGCUAGUUGGUAGGGUAAAAGCCUACCAAGGCGACGAUCCAUAGCUGGUCUGAGAGGAUGAUCAGCCACACUGGGACUGAGACACGGCCCAGACUCCUACGGGAGGCAGCAGUGGGGAAUAUUGGACAAUGGGCGAAAGCCUGAUCCAGCAAUGCCGCGUGAGUGAUGAAGGACUUAGGGUUGUAAAGCUCUUUUACUCGGGAUGAUAAUGACAGUACCGGGAGAAUAAGCUCCGGCUAACUCCGUG
rnacentral:rRNA from 1 species